AUGCACGUUCCUCACUUUCCCCCCCCACUUCCUGCUCAGCCCUUAGUCCCUGACAUACCUGCACUGACUCAAUGCCGGAGAUGCAUGGAAAUUACGUUACCCUUAACCCACCCUCCUUAUUUUUUGCCCCCCUGAAGAAGAUAUAGAUAUCUUGCAUGAGAAACUUCUUGUACUUGCAAACUACCUAUUGAGUGAUUGUGUAAGGCUUGAUUGAGAUUUUAAACUACCAUGGCUGCAUUUUCUUCUUGCUUUUGCUGUUUUUCCUUGUAGCUGUUUUGGUUCUUUUUGUCUGAAGAGAAAAAAAAAGCCUUGAUAAACGUGUUUUUUUGGGAGACUUUUUUUUUUUUGUUGUUGUUUUAAUUUUAUUCUUAUUUUUUAACCGUGAAAUUUUGCUGCCCUAAAUUUGUGUAAUUAUAUUCCUCGUUGGAAACAUGUAGCUAUUUGGGUAAAACCGCUUGUGAAAAGUUCGCUCCCACAUUAGUUUUUGUAUGCAGGACGGGACGAUCUCUCCUGUCCGUCUCCCUCAUACUGCCUGACUUUUUUUUAGGUGGGAAGUGCUCAGCCUCCUAUCGAGGAUAAUCAACAUCCUUUGUAGGCCCCAAGACAUCAAUAGCACAUAAUGGGACCAUUUUGUAUUGAAGACAUAUCAGAUUAACGGUUUGUUCAUUUUUUUUCUUUUCUUACUGAUGGAAUGAAGUUAUAAUUUUCUUCCUAUGCUUUUACAGGAGUUUUACUGGAACUUAUCUUAGAGGGACAGUUCUAAGCCAUGGAAAUUCCAAAAUGCUUCACUUUAUUUUCUUUUUCUGCCAGUGACCCUGUAUAGAAAUGCACUAUUUAAUGAAAACAUCAGCUCUAAAAAUCAGCGUGCCAAAUGUAAACUCUGUGCAAAUUUACUAUCAGUACUGCAUACUGGCUGUUCUGUUUUCUAUCCAUAUGAAGUAUGGCCAUUCUCUGUUGAGACUCUCCUGAGAAUUGACAUUCCAGAUCCGCCCCCCCUCCUUUUUUUUCUUUUGGGAACCUAUAUUGUGAAGAGCACCCUGCAGCUGACAGUGGUACAAAACCACUCACUUAACCAAAACAAAACGCACCCUGAACUUUCCUCCUUUUUCCGCCUCCUUGCCAAAUUCAGUUUACCUCAGCAUACCUUGGCUUUGAGAUUAAAAAGAGACAAACAAGUGGAGACGCUUCUUAAUGAAAAGCACAGAAGAAGAUAUGGACAAUGUUCAUUCUGCACAGAGAACACCGUCUAUCUGGCGUCGGAUGCUUGCCAUGUUCAGGACCAGGACAUGCUGGUGAGGGGAAAACUGCACACGGGCCGUGGCGCCCACUUGCCUGCCUUCUUGUUUCUGCCUAUUAUCAAUUGAAUGUACUUCAAGAUUUGUACAGUGUGCCACUGUUGAGCUGCCUCCUCUUACUGGUGCUAAGAAAGCAGACCUUUUUCUUUUUCUUCCCAGAUACAACAAAACAGAAAAAAAAGGAAAAAAAAGAGAAAAUAUAGAAAGACAGAACCCUAAUCCUCUCUUUAUGAAUGUAUAAUAUAUGGUUAUGUUUGAUGUAUUCACACCAUAAUUAUUUGACAUUAAUUGGGAUUCCUUUUUGCCUUUUUGUUGAAAAGAGUAUUGAGCUUUAUAAAUAUUGUCUAGAGUUGAUACCAGAGGGAUUCUUAACGAACUCUUGACAUGACAAAAAUACUGUAUAUUUUUCUCUGUGCCAAUUUGUAACAUAUUUUGUAAGUGUAUAUUUUUCUUAGAAAGUGCUGUGAAGUAUUAGUGUGUGUGAGUAACCUUUUUUGCGCCUCUGUAGGCAGUGAAAAGGAUGUAUAACGAAAAGGUUUCUGGUUUUAAAAACCAAAAUAUUAAGUAACAAGCAAACAAACAAACAAAAAAAAAAUCUACAUUUUUGUUGGGAGUUUUGUACGAGGAAAUUGACCUUGUUGUGGGAGUAAUGUGUUAUUGUGGAAAACACAAAUAGGCAAAGAAAGAAAAAUGAAGAAAAAAAAUGAAGAAAAUUUGUGAACCACUUGCUGUUUUAUAGAUUUUUCAUGUAAAUUAUUCUAGUAUUAUUUUGUUUAUGUUGUAACUGUUGCAAAGGUUUUAAAUAUUUGUGAACCCGCCUGUAUGGUGAUAAUGUAAUAUUGGUAACUUGCUGAGUUUUGUAAUAAUGUUUAUGGAGUAAAUAUACAAAUUAAAUUGAGAUUUUGAAUGCUGCUUUUGGAAAUUGUCCGUUUUGUUCUGUACCUGCCCGAAUCUUAUUGCUGGAUCGCUU
ensembl:lncRNA